GAUGAACGCUGGCGGCGUGCCUAAUACAUGCAAGUCGAGCGAACAGACGAGGAGCUUGCUCCUCUGACGUUAGCGGCGGACGGGUGAGUAACACGUGGAUAACCUACCUAUAAGACUGGGAUAACUUCGGGAAACAGGAGCUAAUACCGGAUAAUAAAUUGAACCGCAUGGUUCAAUAGUGAAAGACGGUUUUGCUGUCACUUAUAGAUGGAUCCGCGCGGCAUUAGCUAGUUGGUAAGGUAACGGCUUACCAAGGCAACGAUGCGUAGCCGACCUGAGAGGGUGAUCGGCCACACUGGAACUGAGACACGGUCCAGACUCCUACGGGAGGCAGCAGUAGGGAAUCUUCCGCAAUGGGCGAAAGCCUGACGGAGCAACGCCGCGUGAGUGAUGAAGGUCUUCGGAUCGUAAAACUCUGUUAUUAGGGAAGAACAAAUGUGUAAGUAACUAUGCACGUCUUGACGGUACCUAAUCAGAAAGCCACGGCUAACUACGUG
rnacentral:rRNA from 1 species